CAUCUUGGGACGUCUUAUAGAAACAGGCACUUAGAAAGUGUUGAAGCAAUCCACAGGAUUGCAGACAAGCGGUCGAGCCAUCUCAGCAGCAAAACCAGAACCUUGACUCAGAUCAACCUUCUCUCCAUCAACACACUUCCAGUCAAAGCGCUGCACCAACGAACCCACACCUGCAUGCAUCACGUUCAUGGCUAGAGACGCUCCUGGACAUCCUCUUCUCCCACUCCCAAACGGAAGCUCUGGAUCUCUCAUGAUUGCAUAGACGUUUACUAGCACACGUGUUUUUGACUUGAUAAGACACCCGUUCACCUGGCAGUCCGCUGCGCAUUCUCUUAUGAUCAGAGGAGCUGAAGGGUGGAGCCUCAGAGUUUCUCUUAGGACAGCUCGGAGGUAAGGGAGGUUAGGAACGUCUGAUUCUUUGACUAGUCUUUUGCUUCCAACAAUGGUAUUAAUCUCUUCUCUUAACUUGUUGAACGCUUGUGGAUUGUUUAUUAGUUCCCCCAUUGCCCACUGCAUUGCUGCUGCUGAUGUGUCUGUUCCCGCCAUGAAAACAUCCUAAAGAAUAUUCAGUUGUAUCAUAUCAGAAUCAUCAAAGCUGAAAAUUGGAUUCUAAUUGUUGCAGGUAGGCUUGCGGGUUUGGUUAAUUCGGUUCAACAUAAAUCUUACCAAAUCCACCCGAAAUAAAGUUCGGUUUGGUAUUCGGUUUGUUAGGUUUUUGAAAAUCCUACAAAAAAAUUUAAUUUCGGUUUAAUUUUGUUAAAAAAAUUUGGAUAAGUUUGGUUAGUUCGAGUAUUUUGGUUCGAAAUUUGAUUAGUUGGGUUCGGGUUUUAACCAUUGCCGAAUUGAACUAAAAACCAAUUUUUUAGAAAACCUACCAAACCAAACUAACCAAAAUUUCGGUUUGGUUCGGCGGGUAUGGUUGGUUUAAAAUCCAAGGACUAGUUGCAGGUGAGAGGGAAACAUACCAACAGGAAAGACUUCAUGUCAUUCCUCGUUAUCUUCAAUUCAGCAGUUGGGUCUCUAUCAUACUUCUCCAUCACAGCUACUAACUUCUUCCCGUUCCCUGAAAAAUCAAGUACUUUCAAUGGUCCCAACACAUCUCCAACGCUGACCUUCCCCGCAAGCUCCAAACAUGUCUUCACCAGCUUCCUAAUCUCCUCUGCUUCAUUAUCAGUACCCGAACACCUCGUGCUCAUCGCCAUCCUGCAGAUGAUAUUGUUGGUGUAACUCACGAACAGGCUACUCAAGUCACAAUGCACCCCU